UACGUAGGGGGCAAGCGUUGUCCGGAAUCAUUGGGCGUAAAGAGCGUGUAGGCGGCCAGAAAAGUCCGCUGUGAAAACUCGAGGCUCAACUUCGAGACGUCGGCGGAAACCAUCUGGCUAGAGUCCGGAAGAGGAGAGUGGAAUUCCUGGUGUAGCGGUGAAAUGCGCAGAUAUCAGGAAGAACACCCGUGGCGAAGGCGGCUCUCUGGGACGGUACUGACGCUGAGACGCGAAAGCGUGGGGAGCGAACAGG
rnacentral:rRNA from 1 species